AAUGAACGUUGGCGGCAUGGAUUAGGCAUGCAAGUCGAGCGAGAAGGGUUUUGAAGCUUGCUUUAGAACCCGGAAAGCGGCGCAAGGGAGAGUAACGAGUAGUUAUCUACCCCAAGGCCCGGAAUAGCUGCGGGAAACUGCAGGUAAUGCCGGAUAAUAUCCCCGGAUCAAAGGUGUGAUUCCGCCUUGGGAGGAGACUGCUUUGUACUAGCUAGUUGGUAGGGUAAUGGCCUACCAAGGCUACGAUGCAUAGCGGGCGUGAGAGCGUGGCCCGUCUCACGGGGACUGAAACACUGACAAGACACCUACGGGUGGUUGCAGUCGAGAAUCUUCGGCAAUGGGCGAAAGCCUGACCGAGCAAUGCCGCGUGCGGGAUGAAGGCCCUCGGGUUGUAAACCGCUGUCGUAGAGGAGAAAGGUCUGAUGAAGAAUCAGAUUUGAUCUAUUCUAGGAGGAAGUCGGGGCUAAGUUCGUGCCAG
rnacentral:rRNA from 1 species